CAACCAGUUUACCUGCUUGGAUUAACGUGGCAGACUGCCGGCGGGCGAGGCGUCGGCGCCGCUGGUGUCGCAGCCAGCAGCACUGAAUGAAUUUAAACUUUGUCAGCUAAAACAGCCAUUUGAGCAGUUCAGGUGUACAAACAGACUUCCAGGGUGUUUUCUUGUUUUUUUUCUUCUUCUUCUUCUUGUCUUCUGGUCCUACCUUCCUCUUCACUGACCCAUCUCACUCCCAUUUUUCUCUUUCUGUUUCCUCUUUGUGUCCAUAGUCAUUUCUAAUAAAGUUAUAUAUCUGGCCUUAAUGAAAGAACAACAGGGACACAGAAGGGAAGAUAUAAGAAGUUCUUGUAGGGCAUUCAGCAAAAAAGUUAAAGAUUUCAUUUACGCGUUGAAGCAUAAAGGUAGACACAAUACACCUCAGGCUUUUCUUCGUAAAAAGAUUAGAAAACCAUGUAUUGUGCACAACGUUUUGUUGGUCUGUUGCAUAAAAUCCCAAUAAAAUAGAUCAAAUAAAUACUUUUGCACACCACUGUAGUUACCCACUCACCAUUAGC